rnacentral:rRNA from 1 species
CCCCUAGACGUUCUGGGCUGCACGCGCGCCACAAUAAUACGCACAGCGAGUAUCACCGAGCUCGAAAGGGCAAGGUAAACAAUAGAAAAGGUACUGUAAUGGUUAUAGAUCCUUGUAAUUAUUGAUCUUCAACGAGGAAUUCCUAGUAAGUAUGUGUCAUCAUCACGCACUGAUUACGUCCCUGCCCUUUGUACACACCGCCCGUCGCUCCUACCGAUUGGGUGAGCCGAUGAAACUCUCGGAUGUAGGCUAUUCAUAGCCCGCAGAAGAGAUUUGAAUCGUAGCGCUUAGAGGAAGGAGAAGUCGUAACA